rnacentral:piRNA from 1 species
UCAGUGUUCUGACUCUCAUUAGUUAUAGCAG